UACGUAGGAGGCGAGCGUUGUCCGGAAUUACUGGGUGUAAAGCGCGUGUAGGCGGUCCGGUAAGUCCGCUGUGAAAGUCGGGGGCUCAACCCUCGGAUGCCGGUGGAUACUGUCGGGCUUGAGUACGGAAGAGGCGAGUGGAAUUCCUGGUGUAGCGGUGAAAUGCGCAGAUAUCAGGAGGAACACCAAUUGCGAAGGCAGCUCGCUGGGACGUUACUGACGCUGAGACGCGAAAGCGUGGGGAGCAAACAGG
rnacentral:rRNA from 1 species